UGGAGAGAACCCAUCUGACUCGGAGAUUCCAGUGAUUCAGUCAGGAGAAAGUUGGGCCAUGAGUUAAAAAUUUCGCUGUCGAUUAAAUGCGCAGGCGUCAGGCUGAGGACGUCCCCAAGUAUCACGUAUGCGCGCAGCACACUGAAGGCAUUGAAAAUGUCGGAUGUAGGUUAAAAAUGACAAGGAAUUUGCCUACGGGAACCUCGAACACAACACGCCAGUUUUGCUGUCUCUGUCCAGAUAUUUAAGAACAGGAGCAAGGGAUUCAGCCGAUCAUCCUUCCUGCUCAGACUGUCGAGAGGGAUUCACUUGAUCAUCUGACCAAUUGGCACGCCCAUUAGUUUACAUGGGGGGAGCCCAUUCAUCUGCUCAGACGGUGGGAAUGGAUUCACUCAGUCAUCUCAACUGAAGGUACAUCAGCAAGUUCACACUGGGACAAGGCCAUUCACCUGUCCUGUGAGUGAGCAGGGAUUCAGUGGGUCUUCCCACCUGUGGACACACCAGUCAGAUCACAUUGGGCAAAGACUGGUCAUCUGAAGAAUUUGUGGGGAAGCAUUCACUCUGUCAUCUGACCUAAUGGCUCAACAGCGAGUUCACACUCGGGAGCGA